rfam:Ralstonia solanacearum GMI1000 chromosome complete sequence
UGGAUGAAACAGGGGUGCCGUGCGGAUGGGCCGCGCGGCUGAGAGAGUCCCUUCGCACCCGAUCCGGUUCGUACCGGCGUGGGAAGUUUCUUCAGAACACCG